rnacentral:rRNA from 1 species
UACGUAGGGUGCGAGCGUUGUCCGGAAUUACUGGGCGUAAAGAGCUCGUAGGUGGUUUGUCGCGUUGUUCGUGAAAACCUGAGGCUUAACCUUGGGCGUGCGGGCGAUACGGGCAGACUGGAGUACUGCAGGGGAGACUGGAAUUCCUGGUGUAGCAGUGAAAUGCGUAGAUAUCAGGAGGAAUACCGAUGGCGAAGGCAGGUCUCUGGGCUGACACUGACGCUCAUGCACGAAAGCGUGGGGAGCAAACAGG